AUAAGGUAUUCACUGUUCAGAUAUGAAUAUUUUUUUUUGUUCUUUUCAGGUUCUUUAGAUUUCUUUAAAAAUCCAAUUUUGUUUUCUAAUAAGCAAAAAGUAAAGCCACUUUACCCAUGUCUGUAUGUUAAAUUGAGCUUGUCUUUCUCUCUAUCUCUGUUAACACAUUUGUAUUUGUUUGAUUAAUUCUUGUGUCUUUCAGCCUGUUUCUGCCUAUCACCAUGAGUGAUUCCUUGAUACUCAUAUUUAUCAUCAAGAUCUCAAUUAUAAGCUCAAGUCUUGAUGACAACUUGAUGAUCUGCAGGAAGCACCACCAUGUAUAGAGGGCAAAGACCACUCUGGAAUCAGUCAAGGGUGAAAUGGAGUGAGGCAUACAAGGAUAUGUGUGGUUUUACUCUUGGGAAGGAGGUUGAACAGUGCAAUAUUUCUUCUAUAGGAUUGCAGUGACCAGACAUGCUACUGUAACUCUCAUGGUCAUGUGCUGGAAUUAGCAGAUAUUCAACAAUUUGGCCAUCUUGCUGACCUAUUGAUAUCAGAAGACCACAACAGCUCUGCAAAGCAAGUUGGAAAACAGAAUCCAUGAAACUGGCAGUGACCGGAAACCAGUUAGAAGACUUUGGUCUGUGACGUAGAGGAGUGGGCAGACGCAGAAGCAAAGACGACAAACAACAGAAGUGAUAUGGAUGUCUUCGUCAUAUGGCAUGACUCUGCUGACCCAGCAACAAAGAGGAGG
ensembl:processed_transcript